GGCACGAUACGCCAACUGGAAGAGCACCCGAGCUCAAACCUCGGGGGAUGUGGGUUCGACUCCCACUCGUGCUA
rnacentral:tRNA from 1 species